rnacentral:rRNA from 1 species
UACGUAGGGGGCGAGCGUUGUCCGAAGUUACUGGGCGUAAAGCGCGCGUAGGCGGUCUCUUAAGUCUGGUGUGAAAGGUUCAGGGCUCAACCCGAAGAGUGCACUGGAUACUGGGAGACUUGAGUUUGGGAGAGGAGAGUGGAAUUCCUGGUGUAGCGGUGAAAUGCGUAGAUAUCAGGAGGAACACCGAUGGCGAAGGCAGCUCUCUGGCCCAAAACUGACGCUGGAGGUGCGAAAGCGUGGGGAGCGAACGGG